UUUGAACUUUUAGUAGAAUGUUAGAUCGUACAUCAUAAAAGGCUAAACCCAAAAGUGCAUAUAGUUAUGUGAUGAUGCAGCAAUAAGGCAAGAGAAUUGAGGGUGAAAGGGCUUUCAUGAUAGAAGGCUGACAUUUUGGAGAAAAUCAAUUAGAGUAUUAAAAACACAAAAAUAGGAUGAAUGGCUAAAAGUAACUCAGAAGAAUAAAUCAGAUCUGCUAAAGAGAGAGGGACAGCUGAAUGUAAAUUAAUUUCAGAAUAGAAAAAUGAAAAAAGUAUGAAUUAGCACUAGAAAAAGAAAAUAGAUGGGAAAUUAGUGCCUGUUUUGAGGGACAGCUAAGGGGAGGAAACACAAAAAGUAGGUUUUGUUUACAAUGAUUUAGAAAUGAAAUUGCAAAUAAAUGAUAGGGGUUUGAGGGAGAGAAUGGAUGGAGAGAUAUGGGAAUAAAUGGAAAUGGUUACAAGGUAGAUAAAGGGAGAGGAAUUAGAUGGCCUUCUAGGGGACUAUGGUGUUAAACUGAAAACCUUCCUAAGGAAACAUGGGUCACUGUUUUUGGUGUGUGGAUCAAUUUUGUGUGGGUGUGUCGCCAGCUGGUGGCCGAAAGGUGUGUUAAAAUGGUGUACCUCAUCUGCUGUAUUAUUAACAAUUAUGUAUUGCAUUUGUAAGUUGUAUGUUGUGUUAAUAGUUGUGUGUGUAUGAGUGGCCAAAUAUGGGUUGGAUUUUACAUCAUUUCCUUGUCACAUUAUCUACUGAUUUUCUUUACUAUGUAAUGCAUUAACCUGCUGUAGGUUAUUAAAUGUGUUAUGUAAGUGGAUGGCUAACUCAUGGUCAGAAUGGGUGUGACACUGGGAUAUUGAAUAUGCUACUGUUUAUUUAUUAAACUGGACAAACCAUCUACAAAACUAAAUGUUGUAAUCGGUUGUGUGAGUGGCCAGACAACGGUCAUCAAAAUAUGUGUUUGACAUUCAAUAUAAAAUUGUAUAUGCUGAGUUGGAAAAUAAAGUGGUGGAAAACACCGAAAGGAUUGCAGGAUGUAAAAAUAGAAUGUGCGUGGAGUGGUUGUUGAUAUUAUCGUU
rnacentral:lncRNA from 1 species